rnacentral:rRNA from 1 species
GACGAAGGGGGCUAGCGUUGCUCGGAAUCACUGGGCGUAAAGCGCACGUAGGCGGGUUGUUAAGUCGGGGGUGAAAUCCUGGAGCUCAACUCCAGAACUGCCUUCGAUACUGGCGAGCUUGAGUCCGGGAGAGGUGAGUGGAACUCCGAGUGUAGAGGUGAAAUUCGUAGAUAUUCGGAAGAACACCAGUGGCGAAGGCGGCUCACUGGCCCGGUACUGACGCUGAGGUGCGAAAGCGUGGGGAGCAAACAGG